rnacentral:ncRNA from 1 species
GCAAAGGCGAUGCUGGGGAUAAGUACACUUGGACUGCACCUCCAGAGAGUUGGCGGAUGGUGCGAGCCAAUGGGCGGUUCAAGUGGAAUCCACCCCUAAGGCAGGCCUCGAAAACCGGUACCUUCCGGGGUAAGGGGCACGGGUGGCCGCCGUUAAGGGCCAGAGAGUGGGUUCCACAGAGUGUGUGGGACCAAGAUGGGUGGCAACGCGGGAACUUCCUCUCGUCCCAUUA